rnacentral:lncRNA from 1 species
UUAUAGGGAGACAGAGCAAGAACUGAGCCCCAUGCAAUAGUUUUUAGCAGCUGGUUUGGGAACUGACACUGCUUUUUAUAACCACCUGUAGUGAACCAGCUUGGAUUAACACAAUCCAAGUGCUUUAGUUUGCUUAUCUCCUGCUGCCUGACUCCUGAGCCUUCAUGAGAGAGGUUAUCUUCCCUUCUUGGCUGACUCUGAAAUGUGUAGCUCUUUCAGAGCGAGUGAGUAAUUUGAGUACAGCAGCUUUCAUGGAGGAGCAGCAGUGUCACUGCCUGCCUACAGCGUCUUCUCUCUGCAAGAAACUUCAGUUGUAGGAGAUGGGGAUCAUUGGUACUCCUUCCCAAGUGGGAAACAUAGUGCUACACCUGAUUGAAUAUUUAAGGAGCUUGAGAGUCACUGUUCA